rnacentral:lncRNA from 1 species
UUCUUGUCUAUUGUUUUAGGGCACAAUCCAGUGAGGGGAUCUCUGCUCUCAAGCUCUUGCUGGUCCCUUGUUACCUCUGCAGUUUGUGUUGCGGUUUGAGUUCCCCUCUCAAUCCCCAGGACGAUUUGCCCUUGUUCUUCACAGCCAACGCCCAGCCUGGUGAUCAUACCCACCGAAACCAACACCUCGCUAUGGCCAAAGCGUUCCAGUGAGUUGCAUGCCCGUGUAGUCUUCGUUCCGUGGUCUUCAAAGGUUAGUGAAGCAUUGGUAUUGCUGCUGUGUAAAAAAAUGGAUAAAACGUCUCAAAACUUUCACUGACAGGUAUAUGGUUUCAGUCAGCUGAAACAGAAUUUUAUGUGUUCUCAACCCAUUUUUGGAGCACUAUAACUCUUGAUCCAUGAAUCUUUGACCUAAGGUUGCUGCAGCAAACUUGUACAGUUAUGUUUGGUAAACAAAUUUUGUUAGUCAAGGUUGGCCUAUUAUUGUUUGGAAUUGUGAGGAGUAAUAGAGUUAAAGGUGGGGGUUCAGUUUGGUGUAGAGUUCAGUUUCAGAAUCUAAAACGUAAUUCAGUUUGCUGAAUUUUUAGAAACCGUGAAUUCCUCUCAGUUUUGGACCCUUCUAAGUCUCAAUUCUUGAAGUUUUGGUGGAUGAUCAUUGCAUUAAACUUGAAGAUCUAAUAUUGAGGAGCAAUUUCUUUUAAGAAGGAUCUCCCUAUCCUUGCUUUGAAUUGAGAGAAAAGGUUAUUCCAAGUUGCUGUGUUAGGUAGAGGGUGCUGAAUUUAGUUCAGUUAGCUGAAUUGUGUAGUUUAGUGGAGUUCCAACUUUGGAGCUCUCUAACCUGAAGUCUGUUGAGUUUUAGCUAGUAUCCUUUAAAGAAAAGUUGGAGAGUGAUCAUAGAAGAGCGACUCCUAGUAAGAAAGUGUAUCAAGCCAGCAUAGGGAAAUGAGAGAAAAUCUGAUUGGAAGUUCUAGGUUUAGGCUUGGUACAGUGAUUUGAGCACAGUUUAAAAUUCAGAUUGGGAGCAGAACGAUCCUCACGCCUAUGUUGUGUUCCAAUGUGUCAAUCCAAGCUGAGGCUGAGGUUUGUUAUUGGAAAAACAAGUAGUUGAAGGGGAUUAUAAGCCGAUCCUUAACUGGGCAAAUGGAGACUGGACCGGUUUCAGAUUGGGCAGAGGGGGCCGGCAUGCUCAGGCUACAAGUCGGCUGAAGCCUAUUUGCUACUUCAGGUUUGGUUGGCGCUGGUUAAAAAAAAUCAGCUGCCUAUCCCAACCCAGCUCCAGCUAUCCAUGAGCCAUCAAAAUGUGGCCAUAUACCUGCUUGUGUUGUGCAGUUUCUGCUGUUGCCACGUACAAGAGCUACCACACAGCUGCUGGCAUCGUAUGCCAAAACCUUUCUCUGUCGUGAUAUGCAUCAACGCAGCAAAGUGCUCCUUCCUUUUUCCAUUGCUGUGUUCCCUGUUCCCAGUGAGAACUUUCGGUGUUCUAGCGCUCUAGCCCCGGCAUCACUAGCCUCGACCUCGCGCUCUGCCCAGCAGCCCACCUCGUCGCUUGCCUCUUCGUCCAUUGGUCGCUGUCCACAGAAAAGAAUCCCCAUCGCCAGGAGCCCUGUUUGUAUCUCCACUUAAAGCUAGCGUCCAUGUUAGGGCUUGUUCGCUUUCUUCUCAAUCCAUGUGGAUUGGGUGGGGUUAGAUGUGUUUAAAUCCCGAACAAGUCAAAAUCCUUCAUAUUUUUUUUCAAUCUCAUCCAAUCCAUAUAGGAUAGGAAUAACCGAACAAGCCCUUAGGGUGAGGUAGGAAUGGUUUUUAGGCUAGAAAUACUUUCAUACGUUUAUUGUUCUACAAAACUUCUAGGAUUGUAAUUUGAUGCGGUUUUUAGUCAAGAAAUUCGGGUGGCCAGCUCCAUCGUUCUGCGUUUGUGUAGAGUAUUGAAGUUCAGUAAGUAACUUCAUGGUAGUUAUAGCUUGUAAUUGUAAUUUUGUAAUGCUUAGUAAUACCUUCCUUGUUAGUAGCAUAUACACAGGCAUUCAUAAUCAUGGCAUUUCAUGUAGAGUACCAAGGAGAAGUGAUUUGCGAAGGAGGAGUCUGUUCCAGUUCUGCUGAUCCAGUGGUGGAUUCAUCUAACUGCUUAUCGUGUUAGAAGAUCUCAGAUCUCCUCCUGUAAUAAGGCAAGCCCCGGUGCAUUUGCUCCUUUCUUGUAUUUUUAAAUGACUUUUAUACACUUUAAGUCUAGUGAAAUGUGUAUUAAGUUUAUAGAAGUUGCUUGGAAACUAUUUGAUACAUUGCCUACCUUGAUAUCCAUGCCUUUAUAGAUACUUCUGAUGGAGUAUCAAAAUAUGAUUUACAAAAAUGCUUAGCCCUGCUUAGAUCUUGUAGAUAGAGUUUGUCCUUUGCACUAAUGCCUAGCUCAGGUUUAUCCUGAGAAAGGAUGACUUCUACCUGCAAGAAUAUUUUCAUUGGGAGUAUGGUGGGAUCUUACUGCAAAGUUCCCUAUAAUGCUCUUUUCAUCCUUAGGAACACAAAACAAUCCAAAGGGUGGAAGUACUUAACUCGAGACUUGGGCUAGGAACAGGUGAUGCUCCACCCAGGUUAAUUAAGGAUUGGAUGCGUAUGUAGGCCUGUAUGAUCAAGGACUAUCUUAACUGGCCACAUGCCCUAGAUAUGGGACAGGGUAAGCUUGAACCCGACUAUUCCAUACGUGAAAAUACAACCGCGCACUGGGCGUGUGAGAUGGUGGGAGUAGCGUGUACCCUCCUGGCUAGAGGCUGGACGGAGGAGUACUGUGCUCCCGGGUAGCGCAGACCGGUUCAUGUUGUGGAGGAUCUGUGGGAAUGGUUGACAUAUGCAAGGGUUAAGUGCUACAUAUGUCGUGUGGUUAGAGAUCCUCAGCUGAGUAAAUCGAUUCAGAUUGCCGUUAUAUCCCCGGACAGUGGAGACUUGAUCUCUGACAUGCAACCUAAGUCAGGAUGUAAACAUUAUGAAUAAAAUGAUGUUGUAUUGAUGAGAUGGUGAAACUAGACUAGAUGCAACUAGAGUCUAUUAAUAUUUAAUCUGGCAUUAAAAUAUUGAAAGUAAGGACUCACUUUAGUAAGCUAUUUCUGCAAAAGUAUCUAAGUUGAUUCUUGCUAAAGCCUUUUCCUUGAUUCCUAUUUAACCAACAUAUCCUUGAGAGUCAUUUUUCCUUAGUCGGGUAAGACUUGCGAAAGUACACUUCGUACUCAGGGUUUUUGAACUCAUGUUGUUGUAGGUGAUGAGGAGUAUUCUAGGAGUUCCUAUGGCUAGAGGGCGUUUCCAGUUCUGGAGAAAGAUUAGUUAGGCUUGUGUAUAAGCUUUGGAGGGUUUCUACCUUCUUGCUAUUGUAAUAAGUUAUGCACUUUGAGUAUAUCAGGACUUGUAAUAAAUGUAACUCUUCCUAUGUAAUGACCUUCAGUUUUAGAAAUGAAAAGAAUAUUUUGUAAAGUCUUCCGCUCUUAUCUCCGAAGUGUGUGUGUCGAAUGUGAUUACUGUAAUAUACAUGAAUGUGGGAGAUCCUUGGGAUGAUGAGUUCAAGUUGUUGAACUCGUGAUAGCCUUGUUAAGUUACCUGGUACACGUGCAUAGCCAUCUGAGGCCAUCAAGGCAAGGAUUGGUGCAUGUGGACCCGAUAACUUGGGAGGGCCGUCACACUUAUCUUGAUCAUUUUCAUCUCCCCCUUGAUCAAUGUCCUCCUCUUGAGGUGGCUCAUCAUCUUGAUCUUCAUCCUUUUCUUCUUGAGCCAUUUUCUCAUCUUGAGUUGGUGGAGAUGCUUGUAUGGAAGAUGAUGGUUGAUCUUGUGCUUGUGAAGGCUCUUCGGAUUCUUUUGGACACACAUCCCCAAUGGACAUGUUACAUAGCGUGACGCAUGGAG